rnacentral:lncRNA from 1 species
AUCAGGGGAAGCACCAAACAUCCUCAACUCUGCUCACCCAUGGUUUUCUCCCGCCCUCCCAGAGCUCCUCCUGCUGAUGGGCCCCCGACAUGAAACUGGCACUCAGAAUGAAGAAUGCCUUUUCCAGCCUCCCUCGCUGGUGGAGUCUCCGUGUUCCAGCCAAUGAAAGGAGGAAGCCUGGACAGCCUGCAGUUGAGGGGACCUGCACAAGCUCACAGGACUCUUCAUCACCAUGACACCACGCUCACCGCAAAAUAAAAAUGAUCAAA